rnacentral:rRNA from 1 species
GUGUAAGUAUAAAUAAUUUUACUUUGAAACUGCGAAUGGCUCAUUAUAUCAGUUAUAGUUUAUUAGAAAUAUUUUACUACUUGGAUAACCGUAGUAAUUCUAGGGCUAAUACAUGAGUAAAACCUCAACUUCGGAAGAGGUGUGUUUAUUAGUAUGAAAACCAUAUAUCUUCGGAUAUAAUAGUGAGUAAUAAUAACCUUUCAUAUCGUAUGUCGUAAGAUAACGAUGGUUCUUUCAAGUUUCUGCCCUAUCAGCUUUCGAUGGUAGUAUAUGGGACUACCAUGGCAGUAACGGGUAACGAAGAAUUUGGGUUCGAUUUCGGAGAGGGAGCCUGAGAGAUGGCUACCACAUCCUAGGAAGGCAGCAGGCGCGUAAAUUACCCAAUCCUGACAUAGGGAGGUAGUGACAAUAAAUCACAAUGCGGAACUUU